CCUACGGGAGGCUGCAGUGGGGAAUAUUGCGCAAUGGGCGAAAGCCUGACGCAGCGACGCCGCGUGAGGGAUGAAGGUCUUCGGAUCGUAAACCUCUGUCAGCAGGGAAGAACGGUCACUGUGCUAAUCAGCAGUGAAUUGACGGUACCUGCAAAGGAAGCACCGGUUAACUCCGUGCCAGCAGCCGCGGUAAUACGGGGGGUGCGAGAGUUAAUUGGAUUUACUGGGCGUAAAGCGCUCGUAGGUGGUAUGUCAAGUCAAGGGUGAAAGCCCCGCGCUCAACGUGGGAACUGCCUUUGAAACUGGCAAACUGGAGUGUGUGAGAGGAUAGUGGAAUUCCAGGUGUAGGGGUGAAAUCCGUAGAUAUCUGGAGGAACAUCAGUGGCGAAGGCGACUAUCUGGCACAUAACUGACGCUGAGGAGCGAAAGCGUGGGUAGCAAACAGGAUUAGAUACCCUAGUAGUC
rnacentral:rRNA from 1 species